rnacentral:rRNA from 1 species
UACGGGGGGGAGCAAGCGUUGUUCGGAUUUACUGGGCGUAAAGGGCGCGUAGGCGGCCAGCACAAGUCAGUUGUGAAAUCUCCGGGCUUAACUCGGAAAGGUCAACUGAUACUGUGCGACUAGAGUGCGGAAAGGGGCAACUGGGAAUUCUCGGUGUAGCGGUGAAAUGCGUAGAUAUCGAGAGGAACACCUGCGGCGAAGGCGGGGAUUGCC